GAUGAACGCUAGCUACAGGCUUAACACAUGCAAGUCGAGGGGAAACGAUAUUGGAAGCUUGCUUCCGAUAGGCGUCGACCGGCGCACGGGUGAGUAACGCGUAUCCAACCUGCCCAUCACUUGGGGAUAACCUUGCGAAAGUAAGACUAAUACCCAAUGAUAUCUCUAGAAGACAUCUGAAGGAGAUUAAAGAUUCAUCGGUGAUGGAUGGGGAUGCGUCUGAUUAGCUUGUUGGCGGGGUAACGGCCCACCAAGGCGACGUUCAGUAGGGGUUCUGAGAGGAAGGUCCCCCACAUUGGAACUGAGACACGGUCCAAACUCCUACGGGAGGCAGCAGUGAGUAAUAUUGGUCAAUGGACGAGAGUCUGAACCAGCCAAGUAGCGUGCAGGAUGACGGCCCUAUGGGUUGUAAACUGCUUUUAUAAGGGAAUAAAGUGAGUCUCGUGAGACUUUUUGCAUGUACCUUAUGAAUAAGGACCGGCUAAUUCCGUGCCAGCCGCCGCAGUAA
rnacentral:rRNA from 1 species